rnacentral:lncRNA from 1 species
UCUUUGAAUUGAAGCGGUACCUCUGCUUCCUAAACGGUGGAACUGUAGCUGUCUGUCUGUGCUUCUCUUCACGUACCUCAGACUGGGCAUCUGGCAGUGACAGGAUGGCCAGAUACCUCUUCUACUUCCAGCCUCAUGCCUGCAUUCCUGGCAGGAAGAAGAAGGGGACAGAAUGAAGCCUACGUGUAUCAGGAAAGCAACCAUUUCCCAGAAAUCUCUGGCAGACUUUUCGAUUAUUUUUCAUCGGCUCUGAAUUCCGUACUUCCCUUUAGAUGUGUUGUUGAGCCUCUGACUCAUGACCUCAGGGCGGAGAGUUCAAGCCCUGCACUGGGUUUGAAGAUUACGGGAAAACAACAACAACAAACCGUCUGUAACUUCACAAAUCUAUCACUUUGGAAGCUGGUGGCAACAAGCUGGCAGGAAAUAUGGGACUUAGGAAAAGCAAACACACUCUAUUUGCUAAUGAUCACUAAACAUUUGUAACCAAG